AUAAAAAAAUAAAAUUACAAACAAAAACUUCUCCUUAGCCCCUACAGUUGAUAUGCUCUUGUUAUCCACACAAAAGAAAAAUCUUUGUAUAUACAGGCGCUAUAUUAAUUACCAUCUAAAGGCAAAUCUGAGGUACCUAUGCAUAUUAACAAGCCUCAGUUGAUAAAAUCUCAAGCUCAGCCCACCAUAGAGGAGAGAGUCUUGGGGUUGCCCCAUCUGGUCCAAUAUCUGUUAUCUCUCUCAAUCUGGAAGAAACCUCUCUCAUUGUCGGUCGUCGUCUUGGUUCAGGAUGUACACACAUUUUAAUCACAACAGCUAUUCUCUCUAGCUGCUCUCCUUGGAAAGAAUUUAAAGUUGGAUCAACCAUUUCUCUCAGGGAUUCUCCUCCCCUAAGAUAGUCUGACGCCCAGUCGUCAAGAGAACUGCUGUUUGAUGAGUAAGGGAGCCUACCAGUCAUCAUCUCAAACAGAACGACACCAAAGUUGUAAACAUUGCUUUCCGGACUCGAAACCAUCUCAGCUGCUUCUGUCUCAUUCCAGAACCCAAAAUCUGAUAUUUUGGCUGCAGAGUCUUCUGUGAGGUAUACGGCAGAGGAGGUCAAGUUUUUAUGAGGUAAUGAUGGCGAUAAAUUGUGCAUGUGCUCAAGGCAGUAUGCCAUGCCCAUUGUUA
rnacentral:misc_RNA from 1 species